rnacentral:rRNA from 1 species
GAGAUUCGCCUUCAUGAAGCUGGAAUUGCUAGUAAUGGCAGGUCAGCAUACUGCCGUGAAUACGUUCCCGGGCCCUUGUACACACCGCCCGUCACACCAUGAGAGUUGGGAAUACCCGAAGCCUGUGAGCUAACUUAUAGAGGCAGCAGUCGAAGGUAGAAUCAAUGAUUGGGGUGAAGUCGUAACAAGGUAAC